UCGGGGCGUUCUAUCUAAACUUCUCAAAAGGAAGCAAGGUAGAUGCGUGGUUGCGCGUCCUGAAUUAUGGCAUUGUUUUCGGGUUAAAUCCCACUUAACAAUUAAAAAAUUAAGCAAAAGACAACCACCUUUCCCGCUGACAAUAGCGUUAUCCCUCUGCACUUCGGUAAUAUGAGGGCACAGUAAAUCCCGCAAGGAUGAGAAUGUGAUGUGGAAUGAGUAAAUCUAAGGUGAGGAGGCAUCCUCUUUAGUCCGCAAGACACUUGGUUGAAAAGAAAGCAUAUAUAAGCUGGAAAGUACAUGGUAGUUAGUCUACUCGCUAUCCUAGUUACUUUGGAGUAAUCUAAAGUGUGUGUAAACGGGCGAAAGUCUGUAAAAUACUGGGGACAUAGGGUCAACACUCAGCCU
rnacentral:sRNA from 10 species